rnacentral:rRNA from 1 species
CAAAGCGGUUGCAAAAAAUCGGUGGCUGCGACUGUUUAAUAAAAACACAGCACUCUGCAAACACGAAAGUGGACGUAUAGGGUGUGACGCCUGCCCGGUGCUGGAAGAUUAAAUGAUGGGGUGCAAGCUCUUGAUUGAAGUCCCAGUAAACGGCGGCCGUAACAAUAACGGUCCUAAGGUAGCGAAAUUCCUUGUCGGGUAAGUUCCGACCUGCACGAAUGGCGUAAUGAUGGCCAGGCUGUCUCCACCCGAGACUCAGUGAAAUUGAACUCGCUGUGAAGAUGCAGUGUACCCGCGGCAAGACGGAAAGACCCCGUGAACCUUUACUAUAGCUUGACACUGAACAUUGAGCCUUGAUGUGUAGGAUAGGUGGGAGGCUUUGAAGUGUGGACGCCAGUCUGCAUGGAGCCGACCUUGAAAUACCACCCUUUAAUGUUUGAUGUUCUAACGUUGACCCGUAAUCCGGGUUGCGGACAGUGUCUGGUGGGUAGUUUGACUGGGGCGGUCUCCUCCUAAAGAGUAACGGAGGAGCACGAAGGUUGGCUAAUCCUGGUCGGACAUCAGGAGGUUAGUGCAAUGGCAUAAGCCAGCUUGACUGCGAGCGUGACGGCGCGAGCAGGUGCGAAAGCAGGUCAUAGUGAUCCGGUGGUUCUGAAUGGAAGGGCCAUCGCUCAACGGAUAAAAGGUACUCCGGGGAUAACAGGCUGAUACCGCCCAAGAGUUCAUAUCGACGGCGGUGUUUGGCACCUCGAUGUCGGCUCAUCACAUCCUGGGGCUGAAGUAGGUCCCAAGGGUAUGGCUGUUCGCCAUUUAAAGUGGUACGCGAGCUGGGUUUAGAACGUCGUGAGACAGUUCGGUCCCUAUCUGCCGUGGGCGCUGGAGAACUGAGGGGGGCUGCUCCUAGUACGAGAGGACCGGAGUGGACGCAUCACUGGUGUUCGGGUUGUCAUGCCAAUGGCACUGCCCGGUAGCUAAAUGCGGAAGAGAUAAGUGCUGAAAGCAUCUAAGCACGAAACUUGCCCCGAGAUGAGUUCUCCCUGACUCCUUGAGAGUCCUGAAGGAACGUUGAAGACGACGACGUUGAUAGGCCGGGUGUGUAAGCGCAGCGAUGCGUUGAGCUAACCGGUACUAAUGAACCG